AUGAUGGAGGUGCAGAGAUCGCUGGGCAUCUUUGAGGGGCAGCCUGGACACUUGUUCUUCACCUAUGACCAGAUGGCUUUGGAGGAACACAAGUAUGAGUUGGCGGGGAAGCUGAUUGUGUGGUCUGUGGCUCAUGGCGGCCCAGGACUCAAGUCUCUUGACCCCUGCCUGUACCAGCUGAUGUGCACCCAGGAAUGUCAACUGGUAGACUUUGACUGGCACCUAAUACCAGAUGCUGACAUUCAAGACAAACUACAAAAGAUUUCAUCAUGCAAAACGACGGCAGAUCUCCAGAGGCUGCAGACAGAGCAGGGUGACUGGAUCUGUGAUUGUGGUUUCCCUGGAAUAUACAGACGUGAAAUUUCCAUUCAAGAUGUGCCAAAGAUUUACUCCUUUGCAGUUCGACACUACAUAUAUCUUAGAACAUCAAAUAUGAUUCAUCAGUUCACAAAGGGAUUGAAUGCUUAUGGACAGUUCUGGGAUAUGGUAAGAACUCACUGGGUUGAGUUUUUGCCCAUCUUUACAAACAUGCAUGAGCCCCUUUCCAAAAGCACAUUUGGAGACCUGUUCCAAAUCCACUGGAGUAAAUCAGGGACCAAGAAGAGGGAGGCUGAGAAAGAGACUAUACACUGCUGGGAACUGGUACUUAAGAUGAUUGAAGGUAAGUUUUCUCGUUAUUAAAUGAACUGUGAAUAAUGGUGCAUCAUUGUGCUUGUAAUUGUCAGUUUGUUUGGGCUUGAGCUUGUAAUUUUUGCCUCAACAGAUAAAAAGCCAAAGGCUCCACAAAACGAGUUGCAUUUUGAGGAGAUUUUGGCUUUCAUAACUGGAGUGGAUGAAGUCCCACCACUUGGGUUCUCCCCGAAGCCCAGCAUUCGCUUCUACCAACCAGAGCAGCGUGGAUACCGUCUACCGUUUGCCAACACAUGCAUGAUGGGAUUGUUCCUGCCCAGGGUUGUAAAAGAUGAAGUGGAACUUUACAGGAUGCUCCUGAGAGCAAUCAGAGACUCGGCUGUAUUUGGGAGAAUAUAAACAUAUAUAAUUCAUUAUUAUUAUGUACACGAUCACAUCCAUAAUAAUUACAUAUAUUUAUAAGCUUUAUUUCAUUAUUUAUUUCAUUACCUAAGAAGAAAGCACUUAUUUCUGCAAUAAAUAUUUUGCAUUCUAUGCCAGAUGCAUGAUGGGAUUGUUCCUGCCCAGGGUUGUAAAAGAUGAAGUGGAACUUUACAGGAUGCUCCUGAGAGCAAUCAGAGACUUCGGCUGUAUUUGGGAGAAUAUAAACAUAUAUAAUUCAUUAUUAUUAUGUACACGAUCACAUCCAUAAUAAUUACAUAUAUUUAUAAGCUUUAUUUCAUUAUUUAUUUCAUUACCUAAGAAGAAAGCACUUAUUUCUGCAAUAAAUAUUUUGCAUUCUAUGCCAGAUAAAAAUUAUAUAUAUAUAUUACUGUUUUCAUACAAUUAUCAUUCAUGUCUUGAAUAAACUGGUUGGGGAGGAGCGAAUAUCAAUGGUUUAAUACAAUGUCAAUAUAGGUAUAAUAUAACCAUAGGUCUAUAAAAUAUUUCAAGUAAACAAAACAAGUUCUGUGGAACUGCUAAAUAGCCGAACACAUCAAAACAUAUUUUCCUAAAUUUGCUUCCUUAAUUAACUUCCUGAUAACUUUCUUUUAGUUGACUGCAUAGUAGUCACGUGUUACAUUUACGAGUGUUUACAGAUGGAAGAGAAUAGGACCUAUCAAUCAUUAUUCUGUAAACCUGCUUUAUCUGACACUUUAUGACGCAGUGACACGGACUAACAUAUAGUUAUCUGAGCUGUGCUUUGGUUUCGCUUUUUUGUUUACCGUGUCAAAGAAAGCUUCGGUACGCUGAAUAAACUGGAAACGGCUUAUUAUCUAAUCUUUAAGUAAACACCACAUUUUGAAAGAGAAUUAUAUUUCUUUUUCCCAAAAGCAAAUGCAGAAUCCAUAAGAUCUGGGCAUGUAAUGAUCUACAAAAUCAGUAGCCUACUUCAGAACUUUUCAGUAAAUUUCCAACAGAAUGAAUCAUUCAUCUUUAAUGUUCAGUACUUUGGAUUUGCAUCCUGUGCAAUUCCCAGAAUGAGAUGAUUCAUUUCUAAAACUUUUUCACUUAUGGAAUAAAUACGUUCUUACAUGUUUAAUUGUGGACAGUCAUAAUUAGUGCAAAAGUUCAAAGUUCAAAAAGUCUGAAACUACAAAAAUAAGAAAAUAUUCUGAUAAUUUAUUUGCAUGGUACUUGCAACCAAAUUAUUGCAAUUAUAUAUGCUUAAUAAAAAGGUAAUAUAUGAAACAAAAUUAGUCUAUUUAAAAAUAUGUUUAUAUACUGUAUGGAGUAGCUAGUGUCCUUCAAACAACAUGGAAUUGCAAAUAUAGGCUAUAGAUUAAAAAGAUGUACAGGUAUAUAAGGGCCUUAAAUUUAAUCGUGUACUUAAAUUUUUCUUAUUGAUUUAAUUUAAAUAAAAGUUAGGCUACUUACUAUAUAUAUAUAUUCUUUGUUAGAAUGGACACAAUCCUUAAUAAUUACUUAUAUUUAGAUUUAUUUCGUUAUUUUUUUCAUUUCUUAAGAAGAAAGCACUCAUGCACUUUCUUACAGUUAUUUGUAUAUGAUGUAGCUAUAUUUUAUACUACAGCAUAGCAUACAAAUAUUUGUAUAUGAUGUAGCUAUAUUUUAUAU
rnacentral:lncRNA from 1 species